GGUGAGAUGGCCGAGUGGUUAUGGCGCUGCGUUCAGGUUCCAAUCUGAACAAGAUAAAAACUUCGCAGUGGAGCAAUCCGCGUGGGUUCGAGUCCCACUCUCAUCA